rnacentral:miRNA from 1 species
AGUAUUGGGUUGGCCAAAAAGUUUGUUCAGGUUUUCCUGUAAGAUGUAAUGGAAAACUCUGAACAAACUUUUUGGCCAACCCGAUAUG